rnacentral:tmRNA from 4 species
GGGGCUGAUUCUGGAUUCGACGGGAUUUGCGAAACCCAAGGUGCAUGCCGAGGGGCGGUUGGCCUCGUAAAAAGCCGCAAAAAAAUAGUCGCAAACGACGAAAACUACGCUUUAGCAGCUUAAUAACCUGCUUAGAGCCCUCUCUCCCUAGCCUCCGCUCUUAGGACGGGGAUCAAGAGAGGUCAAACCCAAAAGAGAUCGCGCGGAUGCCCUGCCUGGGGUUUAAGCGUUAAAACGAAUCAGGCUAGUCUGGUAGUGGCGUGUCCGUCCGCAGGUGCCAGGCGAAUGUAAAGACUGACUAAGCAUGUAGUACCGAGGAUGUAGGAAUUUCGGACGCGGGUUCAACUCCCGCCAGCUCCACCA